AGAGUUUGAUCAUGGCUCAGAACGAACGCUGGCGGCGUGCUUAAGACAUGCAAGUCGAGCGAGAAAGGGGCUUCGGCCCUGAGUACAGCGGCGCACGGGUGCGUAACACGUGGGUAAUCUGCCUUCGGGUUCGGGAUAACGCGGGGAAACCUGCGCUAAUACCGGGCAAGACCACGAGGUCUUCGGACCUCGCGGUAAAAGGUGGCCUCUUCUUGAAAGCUAUCGCCCGAAGAUGAGCCCGCGCCCCAUUAGCUAGUUGGUGAGGUAAUGGCUCACCAAGGCGGUGAUGGGUAGCUGGUCUGAGAGGACGACCAGCCACACUGGAACUGAGACACGGUCCAGACUCCUACGGGAGGCAGCAGUCGGGAAUUUUGGGCAAUGGGCGCAAGCCUGACCCAGCAACGCCGCGUGAGCGAUGAAGGCCUUCGGGUCGUAAAGCUCUGUCGAGAGGGAAGAAUGUUCUCGGGGUGAACAAUCCCGGGGAAGCGACGGUACCUCUAAAGGAAGCGCCGGCUAACUCCGUGCCAGCAGCCGCGGUAAUACGGAGGGCGCAAGCGUUGUUCGGAAUCACUGGGCGUAAAGCGCGUGUAGGCGGCUUGGCAAGUCGGGUGUGAAAGCCCGGAGCUCAACUCCGGAACUGCACUCGAAACUGCCUCGCUCGAGUCCCGGAGAGGGUGGUGGAAUUCCCGGUGUAGAGGUGAAAUUCGUAGAUAUCGGGAGGAACACCAGUGGCGAAGGCGGCCACCUGGACGGUGACUGACGCUGAGACGCGAAAGCGUGGGGAGCAAACAGGAUUAGAUACCCUGGUAGUCCACGCCGUAAACUUUGGGUGCUAGGCGUCGCGGGUAUUGACCCCCGUGUGCCGCAGCUAACGCGUUAAGCACCCGCUGGGGAGUACGGUCGCAAGACUAAAACUCAAAGGAAUUGACGGGGGCCGCACAGCGGUGGAGCAUGGUGUUCAAUUCGA
rnacentral:rRNA from 1 species